GUUCCAUCGGAUUAAACAUGGCCAAAACCCUAAUCUUCAUCUUCGUCUCUCAUUCAUUUUCGUUCUUCUUCCUUCGACUUCAUUCUUCUUUUCUCUAUCUCCAUUUGUUUUGCCGUAAUUUCUGAAUCGCUGGUGAUGUGGUGUCGAGGAUUUUCUGUAUUUGGUUUCUCGUCACCUCCCAUAACCAGCUAGAUUGCAGACCAACCUUACCCCUUUCCCAGAUGAUAACUUCGUUUAUCAUCUCUGUCAAGGUUGGAACAUUUCUACAUUGGUGUGGAGGAAUUUCAGUGGAUAUGAGAGAUGGAGGAAACAUUCAGGUUGAUGUGAUUUAAUCUGACUUUAGGCUGGAAAUGCUUGUCAUUUCUUUUGUUGAUCUGUCACUCAAUAUAUAUAAUUCAGUUAAUUCCAGAUUUCAUGCUAUGUCUAUGUUGAAUUGGAUGCCGACACUCUGUCCUGGCCAGCAUGUGAUGUGACCGUUAUGCUCCCAUUAUUAUAAAUACUUUUUGGAGUGAAUAUCAAUUUAUACAUUUAAA